AUGUUCAGCUGCCCCUUUGAGAAUUUUUCAGCAAUACCAAUAAAUUUUAUAGGUAAAAAGUAGUAUAGUUCAGGUAAUAGACGAUUCAGCAAGCUGGUGAUUCAGAUUAUUUCAACCAGUCUGGACAGUUAUUUAUUUUUUUGAUCCAUGCCUGUGGCAUGCAAAAGUUCCCAGGCCAGGGAUCAAAUGUGAGCCACAGCAGUGACAACAUGGAAUCUUUAACCACUAGGCCUCCAGGGAGCUCCCGGACAGCUUUUUUUUUUUUUUUUUUUUAAACUUGUCUCACUAUACAUCAAUAAAAGCCCUUCUAAAUUCUAAAGGUGGGCAAAGUUAAUUUUAACUGUUAGUUUAAAAGAAGUAUAUAUGAUGGAACUUUAAUAUUGAAUAUAAUCAAAUUGUGUAUAUUUUUAUAUAGCUCUUAGAGUAAAUGGAGACCUCUUAUACCACCAGGAUGUGGUACAUAUAGACCCUCUUAUUUUUGGUGAAUAGGAAGUUUUGAAGUCAUAGAAUUGGAUUUUAACACAUGUUGGCCAUAUCUGAUUUAUUUAACACAAUUAUCUCUUGGUCAGGACCCUUCAUCAUACUGCUGGGAAAUGGGAAACAAUGGGAAAACAAUUUAAUUUCUAGUGAUGAAUUUAUAAUAUUUUCCAGAAACUUAAUGAUAUGAAGAAUGCCUGCCUGAAUAUUUCUGGCUACUUCAUGAAAAUACAGAGGUUGAUAAUCUCUGCUUUGUGAAGAAGUACUUUUACAAGACUUUGAAAGGUGCCAACUAGAUUAUAGUGGACAGUGCCUGUCAACCUUAGUUCUAUCAGUCUGCAUUUGAUAGAAUUUUUUUUCCUCAGUUGUAAUAUUUCUAGGCUGAAGAGUUCUAAUAUUCUGUCUUAUUUUUUUAAGUUUAUUUUAAUGAAGUUGCACUUCUUUCACCAAAGACCCUAAUUUCUUUCAUCUUUUUUUUUUUUUUUUUCGUCUUUUUGCCAUUUCUUGGGCCACUCCUGCACCAUAUGGAGGUUCCCAGGCUAGGGGUCUAAUCGGAGCUGCUGGCAGCAACAGCUCCAAUUAGAACCCAAGGCUAGGAACCUCCAUAUGCCAUGGGUGUGGCCCUAAAAAAAAAAAAAGACAAAAUACCAUUGCCUGUGUGCUGUGCCUCAACCACCCCAAGUCCUGGAGGGGUUGUCUUCUGCAGUAGAGAGAGCCCUGCAGAGGUCCCAGCCUCAGCUGCUUUGCUAAGUAUGUGACUUUGGCCAAAUUAUUAACUCCUUCAAGCCUCACUUUAUUCAUCUUCAAAAUGAAGGUGUUGGAUUAAGCAGCCUCACUCUGAAACUUUAAUAAUUUUAUGGUGCGCAGGUAGAAUUUAAAAGAUUUCUAUAGUGAUACAAGGAUAUUUCCAUAGGGAAGUAUGAUGCACGUGUUGGGAGGGAGAUUGGCAUAUGGAGAAAUAUUGGGCCAUAUGGGAUUAGGAAAUUAAAAAUUAUCUCCUCCUGCUCAGUCACUGUGCCAAAUAUGAACCUCUCUUUCUAAGAACUACCUUUCUUUUAGAAAAUAAGAAGACAUUAUGAGCAUUUUCAAAAUUAAAAAAAUAUAUAUGCAUGUCAUGUCAAAUGUGAGAUGGGUAUAGGUAGUGAUGUGUUAGGUUCUAGGAGGGGAAUUUGUCUUUAAGUUGUGUUCUGUGUUAUUUGGGAGAUCACAGCCAAAACAGGACUAUCCCAGAUGAAACAAUUAGCAAACAAAGCUGUUAAGAUAUAACCAUGAGCCAUAAUUGACAACAUGCUGAUUUAGUAAAUCAUGGCACAUCCAUUCUAUGGAAUAUUAUGUAGUCAACAAAUAAAACAAAUCACAUUUGUAUGUUUUGACUUGGAAAGGUGUAGUAGACAUAUUGUUAAGUGAAAAUAAGCAAAUGUUGAACAAUAUGAAGGGAAUGAUCAUGGUUUUAUAAAAACCAAAACAGAGACUCUAAAUAGGUAAUUCUGUGUUUAAGUAUUUAAAAACUAGUGAUGCACACCAAUAUGCUUCCACCAGUUAUGUUAAGAAGAUGGGGUUGGACAGAGGAGGAAGAGAAUUAUUUUUAUUUUUUUUAAUCUUUUUGUAAUUCAGUUUGUUUAAAUUGUUAUAAUAAGUGCGCAUUAUUUUAAGUGCCUUUGUAAAACAAACCAAAAAGGCAUAAACUUUGUCUCCUCAGGCCUUACCAGUGGGUGGACAUACGUGGGUUCCUAUGGUUCCAUCUUUCAUUCUCCAGUAACCCCAGCUCUGCACAAAAACCCCAUUAUUUUGGGAGUUCCCGUCCUGGUGCAGCCGAAAGGAAUCUGACUAGGAACCAUGGGGUUGCGGGUUUGAUCCCUGGCCUUGCUCAGUGGGUUAAGAAUCCUGCGUUGCUGUGAGCUAUGGUGUAGAUCGCAGACAGUGGCUUGGAUCCUGUGUUGCUGUGGCUGUGGCAUAGGCUGGCAGCUCUACCUCUGAUUCAACUCCUAGCCCUCCAAAUGCCC
rnacentral:lncRNA from 1 species